AAGAGAAAUGAUGAGCAAUGUUUUAUGGGUGGAUGAAAGCAAAGAUUGGUAUUUUUGUAACAUCAAAAGUUCAUUUUUGAGGCAAACAGAAAAUCCAGCUUAUUAUAGUUUACUGGGACUAACAACCCCCGGACAAAUUUGGAAAAAAAAUUCUGCAAAGUGGGUGGUGCUUUCAGGAACAAUGAGACACAGCCUAGUGUGGGGAUAGAUGGUGAGGGGAUAAGCAAGGCUGUAGUAAGCGCCGUUACCAACUUGGUACUUUGUGGUUAUAGUUUUCUCCAAGUCGCGUUUGAAGAAAUUAUGAACAUGUGCAAAACUGAGAAACUCUAUCAAUCAACCAACUGGAUAUUAAAGUAUGUCACCGGAGAUUUGUUCUCCUGUCCACACGAUGAAUCCUUGGCCCACUGCAUCAGUGAAGACUGUCGCAUGGGAGCAGGCAUAGCGGCGAUGUUCAAGAAGAAGUUUGGUCGAGUCUCAGAGUUAAAGGAGCAGAGUGAGUCAGACUAGUUACUAAAGUCUUUGUUUUUGAAAAAAAUGUUUUAUGUUUUUGCAGUUCAUUCAAAUGUAUGAUUUCAGCAGCAAGUGCUAAAUCAUAUCCUGUUUUGUAUUUUUUUGUAUGUCCUAAUAGAGAAGCUGCCGGGGCAGUGUGCUGUCCUGACACAUGAUCAACGUUUCAUCUACUAUCUGGCAAAUAUACCACAAUCAAUUAUACUGCAUAGGACCAAAAGUUGUUUCAUUAUUCAAUCUGGUAACUGUAUCUUUCCUAUUAUGUGUCUCAGAUCACAAAGAAAAAAGCCAGCCAGAAACCCACGUAUGUCAACCUAAGACAGAGUCUGGAAGACAUGAAAUCUCACUGCUUAGAAAAUGGUGUCAAUAGGAUAUCAAUACCUCGAAUUGGCUGUGGCCUGGACCAGCUGCAGUGGUCAAAGGUGCCAAAGUUCCUGGAACAGAUCUUUAAAGAGACAAAUAUCUCCAUCACAGUGUACAGCCUGCCCUGUGUUGGGUCAAAGCUUCAAAUGCAUGCCAUGUAGUACAUUUUCAUUUGAGUUUUGUUUUUAACUUUAAAUCCUUUAUAAUCUCUUAAAAUUUUGGAUGAAAUCAACACUCUUUAAACAGUUUUAAGGAAACAAUAAAUAAACAAUAAAAACUUCCCCAUAAGAUGUUUACAUACAAGACUUUUAACAUCCCACUGAUGUAAAAAAUGAUGUUUCCUGCCAUUAAAGAUACGAAACUUAUUGUAAACACUGAUGUUGCACUGUCACUAUCGUACUACAUGAUGCUACUACUAAAUCAUGCUACACAAAAUGAUCCAACAAAACCCCUGAGGCAGGUAAAAUACAAUAGUUAUGCCUAAAAUUUGUUCUCCGUUAUUCUAAAUCUAUAUAGUUGUUGAAAACGUAGCUUUUCCUGUGAAUCUGUAAAUCUAAAUUGUGAAAGAGUUUGCUUCUCUAGCUUUAUUUUCCUGACCCAAAUUCAGGAGCAAGGUUGUUAUCACAAGUUUUUUUUUUGUCAUGAGUUUUUAGUGAUUCUGAUGCUUGACUUUUUUAGUAUUUGUAACCUGUGAAUGAUGUGGUACAGAAUAUUAGGACUUAUAUCUUUGUAAAUAAAAUUUAAGAUCAUGGUUUUUGACAACCUUUACCUGCUAAAACACCAGGCAACGGUAUGUAGGAAAAUGCAAUUUGAAAUUUUUAUAAAUUUCUUAGUUUUGCCUCAAAAAUGAACUUUUGAUGUUACAAAAA